rnacentral:rRNA from 1 species
UGCGUAGGGUGCGAGCGUUAAUCGGAAUUAUUGGGCGUAAAGAGCUCGUAGGCGGUUUGUCGCGUCUGCUGUGAAAACCUAAGGCUCAACCCUGGACCUGCAGUGGGUACGGGCAGACUGGAGUACUGCAGGGGAGACUGGAAUUCCUGGUGUAGCGGUGGAAUGCGCAGAUAUCAGGAGGAACACCGGUGGCGAAGGCGGGUCUCUGGGCAGUAACUGACGCUGAGGAGCGAAAGCGUGGGGAGCGAACAGG